UUUUCCUUUUCCCUUAUGUCAAUUUUUAUUAUAUAUAUUUGUGUAUUCAAGACCAAUCUUGUAUUGUUCAGCGAAACAGCCAAUUUAUAAAGGUUCACGAAAGUCGUCGAAAGAAUACGACAAGUUCACGAAAAUGGAUGUAAAGAAGAAAUUCUUGAAGUCGCAUCUCAUCUUUUAAGAACAACAAGAAAAGAUAAUUCAAAGCAAUCUUUGAAAACAAUCAACAAAAAAACUACGUACUUGCUCCUAAUUUUCAAUGAACAAAUACACUGGAUUGCAUAUUUUAUAAUAUGUAAUGAAAUGAAA